rnacentral:piRNA from 1 species
UGGAUAGGUUUUCUCUAAGGAGCCAUGC